AUUGAACGCUGGCGGCAUGCCUAACACAUGCAAGUCGAACGGCAGCAUAAGUGAGGGUAACCUUACUUGAUGGCGAGUGGCGGACGGGUGAGUAAUAUGUAGGAAUCUACCUAGAGGAGCGGGAUAACUUGGGGAAACUCAAGCUAAUACCACAUAAUCCCCACGGGGGAAAGCAGGGGACCUUCGGGCCUUGCGCCUUAUGAUGAGCCUACAUCGGAUUAGCUUGUUGGUGGGGUAAAGGCCUACCAAGGCGACGAUCCGUAGCUGGUCUGAGAGGAUGAUCAGCCACACUGGAACUGAGACACGGUCCAGACUCCUACGGGAGGCAGCAGUGGGGAAUAUUGGACAAUGGGCGCAAGCCUGAUCCAGCAAUGCCGCGUGUGUGAAGAAGGCCUUAGGGUUGUAAAGCACUUUCAGUGGGGAGGAAGUUUGUGGUGCUAAUAUCAUCAUAAAUUGACGUUACCCACAGAAGAAGCACCGGCUAACUCUGUGCCAGCCGCCGCAGUAA
rnacentral:rRNA from 1 species